rnacentral:rRNA from 1 species
GAUGAACGCUGGCGGCGUGCCUGACACAUGCAAGUCGAACGAACCUAAUCUUCGGAAAGGGUUAGUGGCGCACGGGUGAGUAACACGUAGGUGACCUGCCCUGGAGUGGGGGAUAACUUCUCGAAAGAGAGGCUAAUACCGCAUAUGCUCGGCCAUUCAGUUGGUCGAGUAAAGCUCCGGCGCUCCAGGAGGGGCCUGCGUCCGAUUAGCUAGUUGGUGGGGUAAUGGCUCACCAAGGCUAUGAUCGGUAGCUGGUCUGAGAGGACGAUCAGCCACACUGGCACUGACACACGGGCCAGACUCCUACGGGAGGCAGCAGUGAGGAAUAUUGGUCAAUGGGCGAAAGCCUGAACCAGCAACGCCGCGUGAGGGAUGAAGGCCUUCGGGUCGGUAAACCUCUUUUCUGGGAGAAGAGACAAGGACGGUAUCCCAGGAAUAAGUCUCGGCUAACUACGUGCCAGCAGCCGCGGU